UACAGAGGAGCCAAGCGUUGUCCGGAUUGACUGGGCAUAAAGCGCACGCAGGCGGUUGCGCGCGUGGGGUGUGAAAUCUGGCCGCUUAACGGCCAGGCGCCAUCCCAUACGGCGCGACUGGAGUGAUGCAGAGGUCGAUGGAAUUGCCGGUGUAGUGGUGAAAUGCGUAGAGAUCGGCAGGAACACCCAGGGGGAAACCAGUCGACUGGGCAUCUACUGACGCUGAGGUGCGAGAGCGUGGGGAGCGAACCGG
rnacentral:rRNA from 1 species